GACGAACGCUGGCGGCGUGCUUAACACAUGCAAGUCGAACGGAAAGGCCCUGCUUUUGUGGGGUGCUCGAGUGGCGAACGGGUGAGUAACACGUGAGUAACCUGCCCUUGACUUUGGGAUAACUUCAGGAAACUGGGGCUAAUACCGGAUAGGAGCUCCUGCUGCAUGGUGGGGGUUGGAUAGUUUCGGCGGUCGGGGAUGGACUCGCGGCUUAUCAGCUUGUUGGUGGGGUAGUGGCUUACCAAGGCUUUGACGGGUAGCCGGCCUGAGAGGGUGACCGGCCACAUUGGGACUGAGAGACGGCGCAGACUCCUACGGUAGGCAGAGGUGGGGAAUAUGGCACAAUGGGCGGAAGCCUGAUGCAGCAACGCCGCGGGCGGGAUGACGGCCUUCGGGUUGUAAACCGCAUUCGCCUGUGACGAAGCGGGAGUGACGGUAAUGAGUAAAGAAGCACCGGCUAACUACGUG
rnacentral:rRNA from 1 species